rnacentral:lncRNA from 1 species
UUUCUUACUAUUUAAUAUAUUUCCUAAAAAAUACAAAUAUAUGAAUUAAAUGUCUCAUACAAUAUAAAAGCCAUCAAGGUCAUAAACCCAACCCAGUUCAUACAGGAGUCCAGAAAGGCUAGUAACACUUACCACUAUAUUAAGAGAAAAACAAGCCACCAUUACUUGAAUCAGGCUUCUUUGUCGAUAAUUGGGAGCCAGAAUAGACUUCUGCAAGUUUCGUCGGCAUACUCAGCCAUCAAGGUGACCAGAACCUUGAUGCGUGAAGUCUCUGUUUAGAUCGUUGCCACCAUGGUAGUGGAAGCAUCUUUGAACUUGAAACGACAAUUGUAGUGGAAUCUCAACCAAAACUGAGUUACAAAACUCGAUAAACUAAGUCACUAAAGACAGAUAAAAUCAAGUCACCACAGUACUCGAAGACCACAAGUCAACAACAUGAUGUGCUGUAAAAAAUGCCCAACUCAUGGAAACAAUCUUAUUAUUCUUAACGAAACAAGCCUCUUCAAACCAAAAAGUUGGUCGAUGGCUGGUGAAGUAAGUAUAGAUAGGGGUGGUGAGUCGGUGUGGAAACUGACUACCAUACGACCAUGCUGUCAGCCGCCAUAGGCCUCUAAAAAACUCGAGAGCUUUCUCCCUCUUUAAUCGUUGUGGAGAUCUGAACGCUCAAGAUUCUCACCCAGAUGGGGAGGUCAUAUGGUGGUGGUCCCAUGCCAAUCAACCGAUGGAGACUUGAGAUAGGAGAGGGUCUCCUUCUUGGCUUAGAUGUGGAUCUGGGUGGUACAGGUUGUUGGGUCCAAAUUGAUAUUUGAAAGAAAAAUCUAAGUAGUGCUAAGACUAGUUCCAAUUACUUUAGGCAUAAGAAAUGUAAAGUGCAAAAAAGUAAACAAGAAAAGAUAUUUAUCCAAUUCAAUUUCCCUACAUUUGUAAGGCCUUGUUUGAAGAGAAUAUUCACUAUCUACCACUCUACCCACUGUACCUAUGGAGUAGAGUGCUUGAUAGCUAGAACCCAUGCCCAACCGACCUCUCUCCAUAAAUACCUCCUCUAUGCACCAAAAGCAAAGGAUAUGAGAACUCUCUCCCAACUUUUAUAUACAACCUAAACACUAAAAGAUGCAUGAGCCUUGUAGGAAGAAAGCCCAAAGUAGCUUGGUCCAUUUUCUUCUUAAGACAAAGGGAGAAUGCUCUGCCAACAAUAAGUAAAGAAGAGACAAAUAAGACACAUGAAGAAACCAAGGCACAUAGAGGAAACAUACGCUACGUCGAAUCUCCUCAAAUGUUCUUACUAGAACAAAACGCAUAACAACGUCUUGGAAAGUGGUUUGAUGGGAGAAUAAGAUAACUACAAGCAAAGCCAACAUUCUAGGCAUGCCAAGGUGAGUUCCUCCCUUCAAUGGGAGGCAAUGAAUGUAUCUCUAGAUGAUUUCCUUCAUUUAAACAUGGUGGCUUCUAGGGUCUCCUUACUGUUGGGAAAUCAAUGUAGUAAUAUCAUAAUGUAC